rnacentral:siRNA from 1 species
AGUGACACGCGGACCAGCAACACC